rnacentral:rRNA from 1 species
UACGUAGGGUGCGAGCGUUGUCCGGAAUUAUUGGGCGUAAAGAGCUCGUAGGCGGUUUGUCGCGUCGGAUGUGAAAGCCCGGGGCUUAACUCCGGGUCUGCAUUCGAUACGGGCAGGCUAGAGUUCGGUAGGGGAGAUCGGAAUUCCUGGUGUAGCGGUGAAAUGCGCAGAUAUCAGGAGGAACACCGGUGGCGAAGGCGGAUCUCUGGGCCGAUACUGACGCUGAGGAGCGAAAGCGUGGGGGAGCGAACAGG